rnacentral:rRNA from 1 species
GUCCUUUAGAUGUUAAUUUAAGGUCUAACCUGCCCACUGAAUUAUUUUAAAUGGCCGCAGUAAUUUGACUGUGCAAAGGUAGCAUAAUCAUUAGUUUUUUAAUUGAAAGCUUGUAUGAAAGGUUGGACGAAGUAAAAUCUGUCUCUAAUUAAAUUAAUUUAGAAUUUAACUUUUAAGUUAAAAGGCUUAAAUUUAACUAAAAGACGAGAAGACCCUAUAGAUCUUUAUAUUUAAAUUAAUAAAUUUAAUUAAGAAUUUUUAAAAUUUUAUUAAUUUAAUUAUUUUAUUGGGGUAAUAUAAAGAUUAAAAUAAUUCUUUUUUUUUAUUAACAUUAAUUUAUGAUUUUAAUGAUCCAAUUAUAUUGAUUUUAAGAUUAAGUUACCUUAGGGAUAACAGCGUAAUUUUUUUAGAGAGUUCUUAUCGAUAAGAAAGUUUGCGACCUCGAUGUUGGAUUAAAGAUUAUUUUAGGUGUAGAAGCUUAAAAAUUUUGGUCUGUUCGACCAUUAAAUCUUUACAUGAUCUGAGUUCAGACCGGUGUAAGCCAGGUCGGUUUCUAUCUUUAGUAAAUUAAAAUAUUUUAGUACGAAAGGACCAAUUAUUUAAUAUAAAUAUUUAAAUUUUGAUUAUUAUUAA